UGUUGUAAUUGCCUGCACACGUGUCAAGUGGGAGUGAUCGCCAUCAUGUCUGGUCUUGGUGAAGGCCUGACGUCAUCACUAUCAGUAAACAACAGGUUGUCUCAUCUGCAUUCAAAUCACCUCGCACUCACUCUCAUCAGCAGCUGUGGUGGUAAUAUCACGGUCGCUGUGAUGCACGUCAUUACACAAUAAUCAUCAUGAUUAUUGUAAUCGGCGCCUUUAACUUUAUAUAUAACGAUAUUUAUACAAAUAUAUAAAGAUUUAUCUGUCCCAUAUGUGAAGAAUGAGUCACGUAUAGUAACGAUUAGCCACGUUGUCGUCAAGGACGGUCAAGAUCCAGAUGAUAAUCAUCCUCCUGGCAAAUAUUCGUACGUUUAUGUCCUGUUUUAAAUGUUGUAAGACAAAAUUGAAUAGCUUUGCACAAGCAGAGUUAAAACCAGAGUGGUAAAUAAUAUGGGACCUGAUAUUCAAACCCCUGUUGUAAAGAAACAUUUUACCUUUUUACUCUAAUUAAAUGGGUGUGAUAUGA